GGUUUCCUAGUGUAAUGGUCAUCACAUCGGAUUCUGAUUCCGGUAAUCUGGGUUCGAUUCCCAGGGAGACCU
rnacentral:tRNA from 1 species